UGGGGAAUCUUGGACAAUGGGGGCAACCCUGAUCCAGCCAUGCCGCGUGAGUGAUGAAGGCCUUAGGGUCGUAAAGCUCUUUCGCCUGUGAAGAUAAUGACGGUAGCAGGUAAAGAAACCCCGGCUAACUCCGUGCCAGCAGCCGCGGUAAUACGGAGGGGGUUAGCGUUGUUCGGAAUUACUGGGCGUAAAGCGCACGUAGGCGGACCAGAAAGUUGGGGGUGAAAUCCCGGGGGCUCAACCCCGGAACUGCCUCCAAAACUAUUGGUCUAGAGUUCGAGAGAGGUGAGUGGAAUUCCAAGUGUAGAGGUGAAAUUCGUAGAUAUUUGGAGGAACACCAGUGGCGAAGGCGGCUCACUGGCUCGAUACUGACGCUGAGGUGCGAAAAGUGUGGGGAGCAAAACAGGAUUAGAUACCCUGGUAGUCCACACCGUAAAACGAUGAAUGCCAGUCGUCGGGUAGCAUGCUAUUCGGUGACACACCUAACGGAUUAAGCAUUCCGCCUGGGGAGUAC
rnacentral:rRNA from 1 species